rnacentral:misc_RNA from 1 species
GAUGAAGAACGCAGCGAAAUGCGAUAAGUAAUGUGAAUUGCAGAAUUCAGUGAAUCAUCGAAUCUUUGAACGCACCUUGCGCCCUUUGGACAUUCCGAAGGGCAUGCCUGUUUGAGUAUCAUGAACACCUCAACUCUCACGGCUUGUCCGUGAUGAGCUUGGACUUUGGGGGUCUUGCCGGCCUGUGGUCGGCUCCUCUCAAAUGGAUCAGCUUGCCAGUGUUUGGUGGCAUCACAGGUGUGAUAACUAUCUGCGCUUGUGGUUUUCCAUCAGAUAACCUUCAGUGAUAUGGAGGUUCGCUGGAGCUCACAAAUGUCUCUCCUUAGUGAGGACAGCUCUUUGAACGUUUGAUCUCAAAUCAGGUAGGACUACCCGCUGAACUUAAGCAUAUCAAUAAGCGGAGGAU